UGUAUAGAAUGCAGUAUAUUUCGCUCACGCGGAGAAAAUCCGCUACGUCACUUCCUCUUUCCUUUGCAGCAUCUAAGAAGACUUUUCUUCCACGAUGAGAGCCAAGUGGAGAAAGAAGCGUAUGCGAAGGCUCAAGCGUAAAAGGAGGAAGAUGAGGGCAAGGUCAAAGUAGAUGCCCUCAUCCUGCCCUGAUGGCUGUACAGACUUCCAUCAGUGUCCCAUCGACCACCCUUCAUCUCCACGUCGCACUACUGGGUUCCAGACUGACACCACCAGACUAUCAUAUCAGCUUCUGACUCCAUCUUGAAUGGAGCAGGGCAGCGGGAGAGGAAGAGACGAGAAGAGGAAGAAGAUUAUGUUAAAGCGUGGACAUUCUCCAGGUUUUGCAUCUUGGUGUUGUGGCGUGUGCAGAUAUUCUUGUACAGGUCCAGCACUGGCCCCUGUUCUACAAGUGACUUCCCUUACCUCUACAGCAUCAGCAGCAACAGAAAACAGCAACAGCAACAACACGUCUCUGUAGCUACGGGGCCAGAGAAAUGAGAUUGUCACUGGAGGAAGACUGGGCUCUGAAGGAGCAUGGCUUGAUUCUGCUUGUGAAGGACAAUACCAUCAGUCUAGGGUGUUUGAGCGUGGGAGUGACUCCCCAGGUUCAGCAUAGGCUCCCGUUGCCAAGGAGACACUUUAGCUUGUAGUCCAGGGGCCUUGUGGAUAGAGGGGUACACUUUGAUGAUGAUGAUGAUGAUGAUGAUGAAUGUCAGUGCGUGUUGGUUGUAUGACUGGCAGGCAUGACACCCCCUCUAUUCACAAUUGUUUGGAACUCAGUUUUGUGAUUAUUCAUCAUUGCAGGGAGUUUGUGUGGUUGCAUCAGGGAAAAAAAAACAUGUACAGAUACUAGCUAAAAUAAAUGUUAAAUCUGUGCA